rnacentral:rRNA from 1 species
UAGGGAAUCUUCGGCAAUGGGGGGAACCCUGACCGAGCAACGCCGCGUGAGUGAAGUAGGUUUUCGGAUCGUAAAGCUCUGUUGUUAAGGAAGAACGAGUGUGAGAAUGGAAAGUUCAUACUGUGACGGUACUUAACCAGAAAGGGACGGCUAACUACGUGCCAGCAGCCGCGGUAAUACGUAGGUCCCGAGCGUUGUCCGGAUUUAUUGGGCGUAAAGCGAGCGCAGGCGGUUAGAUAAGUCUGAAGUUAAAGGCAGUGGCUCAACCAUUGUAGGCUUUGGAAGCUGUUUAACUUGAGUGCAGAAGGGGAGAGUGGAAUUCCAUGUGUAGCGGUGAAAUGCGUAGAUAUAUGGAGGAACACCGGUGGCGAAAGCGGCUCUCUGGUCUGUAACUGACGCUGAGGCUCGAAAGCGUGGGGAGCGAACAGG